GAUGAACGCUGGCGGCGUGCCUAAUACAUGCAAGUCGAGCGAACAGACGAGGAGCUUGCUCCUCUGACGUUAGCGGCGGACGGGUGAGUAACACGUGGAUAACCUACCUAUAAGACUGGGAUAACUUCGGGAAACCGGAGCUAAUACUGGAUAAUAUAUUGAACCGCAUGGUUCAAUAGUGAAAGACGGUUUUGCUGUCACUUAUAGAUGGAUCCGCGCCGCAUUAGCUAGUUGGUAAGGUAACGGCUUACCAAGGCAACGAUGCGUAGCCGACCUGAGAGGGUGAUCGGCCACACUGGAACUGAGACACGGUCCAGACUCCUACGGGAGGCAGCAGUAGGGAAUCUUCCGCAAUGGGCGAAAGCCUGACGGGGCAACGCCGCGUGAGUGAUGAAGGUCUUCGGAUCGUAAAACUCUGUUAUUAGGGAAGAACAAAUGUGUAAGUAACUAUGCACGUCUUGACGGUACCUAAUCAGAAAGCCACGGCUAACUACGUG
rnacentral:rRNA from 1 species